GGAUAAUCGUCUGAAUCGUUAAAAACAACCACUAGAUGAUGCCAGUGCUUUCAUGCAGACGAGAUGAAUGUUCCCAAACAUGGUCCCGAGAUGCACGUUUUGUAAAUGGUGAAUCUCAAAUUAAUCAAAGAACUUGUCAUUUCACUUCAUUGACUUUCUCUUCCCAUUUUAAUAUUGAUGAUAAAUUGCAAGAACUUACCGGAGAUCUCUUCCUUUUUGUGGUUCCUUUCAAUUGAUUCAUUUGAGUUUAAUCUCUCGCCGCUGUUCCAGACCUUAUCCACUAGUGGAAUAUGCCGAGAGAUGUUGAACUUAUUCCAGGUUAACCCUUCGCCAUCGUGCUAUAGAAGUUGACGGUUAAAGAAGAGCUUGCUUUCGAUCAAUAACAAUAAAUUAGGUAGAUGUAGA
rnacentral:lncRNA from 1 species